AACAGCGAUAGGUUUAACAUCAGUAGGUGGAUUAACAGCGAUGGGUUUAACAUCAGUAGGUGGAUUAACAGCGAUGGAUUUAACAUCAGUAGGUGGAUUAACAGCGAUGCGUGUAACAUCAGUAGGUGGAUCAACAGCGAUGGGUUUAAAACAUCAGUAGGUGGAUUAACAGCGAUGGACUUAACAUCAGUAGGUGGAUUAACAGCGAUGCGUGUAACAUCAGUGCUCCAUUAUCGGUUAGACCGGCCAUAGCCAGGUGUACCGCGGGUCAGAGAACUAACGUAGCAGGUUAGGAGAAUUAACAUAGCAGGUUAGGAUAAUUAACCUAGCAGGUUAGGAUAAUUAACAUAGCAGGUUAGGAUAAUUAACAUAGCAGGUUAGGAUAAAUAACCUAGGAGGUUAGGAGAAUUAACAUAGCAGGUUAGGAUAAAUAACCUAGCAGGUUAGAAUAAUUAACGUAGCAGGUUAGGAGAAUUAAUGUGGCAAAUUAGGAGAAUUAACGUGGCAGGUUAGGAGAAUUAAAGUGGCAGGUUAGGAGAAUUAACGUAGCAGGUUAGGAGAAUUAAUGUGGCAGGUUAGGAUAAUUAACGUAGCAGGUUAGGAUAACUAACGUGGCAGGUUAGGAGAAUUAACGUGGCAGGUUAUGAGAAUUAAUGUAGCAAAUUAGGAGAAUUAACGUGGUAGGUUAGGAGAAUUAAAGUGGCAGGUUAGGAGAAUUAAUGUAGCAGGUUAGGAGAAUUAAUGUGUCAGGUUAGGAUAAUUAAUGUAGCAGGUUAGGAUAAUUAAUGUGGCAGGUUAGGAGAAUUAACGAAGCAGGUAAGGAUAAUUAACUUGGCAGAUUAGCAGAAUUAACGUGGCAGGUUAGGAGAAUUAACGUAGCAGGUUAGGAGAAUUAACGUGGCAGGUUAGGAUAAUUAACGUAGCAGGUUAGGAGAAUGAAUAUAGUAUGUUAGGAUAAUUAACGUGUCAGGUUAGGAGAAUGAGGUUAAGGUUAGGAAAAGGGUUAGGUUUAGCUAAAAUGCUACAGUUGUCAACAAUCGACUCGUCGUGCCGCCCAAUCAGCCACACAAAACGGUCUUGAGUGGCAACAAAUCUACCCUAUUUGCUGAUUCGCUUUCCACACACCCACUUCUGUUAAUCCUCCCACUUCUGUUGACACGCCCACUUUCAGACACGCCAUGUAUGCAGUUACCCAUGACUCACUACUUACCUCAAACUAU
rnacentral:lncRNA from 1 species